AUACGUAGGGGGCAAGCGUUAUCCGGAUUUACUGGGUGUAAAGGGUGCGUAGGUGGCAUGGUAAGUUAGAUGUGAAAGCCCAAGGCUCAACCUUGGGAUUGCAUCUAAAACUGCCAAGCUAGAGUGCAGGAGAGGAAAGUAGAAUUCCUAGUGUAGCGGUGAAAUGCGUAGAUAUUAGGAGGAAUACCAGUAGCGAAGGCGGCUUUCUGGACUGUAACUGACACUGAGGCACGAAAGCGUGGGUAGCAAACAGGAUUAGAUACCCUGGUAGUCCACGCCGUAAACGAUGAAUGCUAGGUGUCGGCCCUCACGGGGGUCGGUGCCGCAGUUAACACAUUAAGCAUUCCACCUGGGGAGUACGUUCGCAAGAAUGAA
rnacentral:rRNA from 1 species